AGUAGGUGAACAAGCUGGAAAGCUUGGCGAUACAGGGUGAUAGCCCCGUAACCGACGCUUCAUCGAGCGUGAAAUCGAGUAGGGCGGGACACGUGAUAUCCUGUCUGAAUAUGGGGGGACCAUCCUCCAAGGCUAAAUACUCCUGACUGACCGAUAGUGAACCAGUACCGUGAGGGAAAGGCGAAAAGAACCCCUGUGAGGGGAGUGAAAUAGAACCUGAAACCGUGUACGUACAAGCAGUAGGAGCACCUUCGUGGUGUGACUGCGUACCUUUUGUAUAAUGGGUCAGCGACUUAUAUUCAGUGGCAAGGUUAACCGUAUAGGGGAGCCGUAGCGAAAGCGAGUCUUAACUGGGCGCUCAGUCUCUGGAUAUAGACCCGAAACCGGGUGAUCUAGCCAUGGGCAGGUUGAAGGUUGAGUAACAUCAACUGGAGGACCGAACCGACUAAUGUUGAAAAAUUAGCGGAUGACUUGUGGCUAGGGGUGAAAGGCCAAUCAAACUCGGAGAUAGCUGGUUCUCCCCGAAAGCUAUUUAGGUAGCGCCUCGGACGAAUACUACUGGGGGUAGAGCACUGUUAAGGCUAGGGGGUCAUCCCGACUUACCAACCCUUUGCAAACUCCGAAUACCAGUAAGUACUAUCCGGGAGACACACGGCGGGUGCUAACGUCCGUCGUGGAGAGGGAAACAACCCAGACCGCCAGCUAAGGUCCCAAAGUAUUGCUAAGUGGGAAACGAUGUGGGAAGGCUCAGACAGCUAGGAUGUUGGCUUAGAAGCAGCCAUCAUUUAAAGAAAGCGUAAUAGCUCACUAGUCGAGUCGGCCUGCGCGGAAGAUGUAACGGGGCUAAGCAAUACACCGAAGCUGCGGCAAUAUCUUUUAGAUAUUGGGUAGGGGAGCGUUCUGUAAGCCGUUGAAGGUGAAUCGUAAGGUUUGCUGGAGGUAUCAGAAGUGCGAAUGCUGACAUGAGUAACGACAAAGGGGGUGAAAAACCUCCUCGCCGGAAGACCAAGGGUUCCUGUCCAACGUUAAUCGGGGCAGGGUGAGUCGACCCCUAAGGUGAGGCCGAAAGGCGUAAUCGAUGGGAAACGGGUUAAUAUUCCCGUACUUCUGACUAUUGCGAUGGGGGGACGGAGAAGGCUAGGUGGGCCAGGCGACGGUUGUCCUGGUUCAAGUGCGUAGGCUUGAGAGUUAGGUAAAUCCGGCUCUCUCUAAGGCUGAGACACGACGUCGAGCUGCUACGGCAGUGAAGUCAUUGAUGCCAUGCUUCCAGGAAAAGCCUCUAAGCUUCAGAUAGUCAGGAAUCGUACCCCAAACCGACACAGGUGGUCGGGUAGAGAAUACCAAGGCGCUUGAGAGAACUCGGGUGAAGGAACUAGGCAAAAUGGUACCGUAACUUCGGGAGAAGGUACGCUCUUGAUGGUGAAGUCCCUCGCGGAUGGAGCUGACGAGAGUCGCAGAUACCAGGUGGCUGCAACUGUUUAUUAAAAACACAGCACUGUGCAAAAUCGCAAGAUGACGUAUACGGUGUGACGCCUGCCCGGUGCCGGAAGGUUAAUUGAUGGGGUUAGCGCAAGCGAAGCUCUUGAUCGAAGCCCCGGUAAACGGCGGCCGUAACUAUAACGGUCCUAAGGUAGCGAAAUUCCUUGUCGGGUAAGUUCCGACCUGCACGAAUGGCGUAAUGAUGGCCACGCUGUCUCCACCCGAGACUCAGUGAAAUUGAAAUCGCUGUGAAGAUGCAGUGUACCCGCGGCUAGACGGAAAGACCCCGUGAACCUUUACUACAGCUUGGCACUGAACAUUGAACCUACAUGUGUAGGAUAGGUGGGAGGCUAUGAAGACGUGACGCCAGUUGCGUUGGAGCCGUCCUUGAAAUACCACCCUUGUAUGUUUGAUGUUCUAACUUAGACCCAUUAUCUGGGUUGAGGACAGUGCCUGGUGGGUAGUUUGACUGGGGCGGUCUCCUCCCAAAGAGUAACGGAGGAGCACGAAGGUGGGCUAAUCACGGUUGGACAUCGUGAGGUUAGUGCAAUGGCAUAAGCCCGCUUAACUGCGAGAAUGACGGUUCGAGCAGGUGCGAAAGCAGGUCAUAGUGAUCCGGUGGUUCUGUAUGGAAGGGCCAUCGCUCAACGGAUAAAAGGUACUCCGGGGAUAACAGGCUGAUACCGCCCAAGAGUUCAUAUCGACGGCGGUGUUUGGCACCUCGAUGUCGGCUCAUCACAUCCUGGGGCUGAAGUCGGUCCCAAGGGUAUGGCUGUUCGCCAUUUAAAGUGGUACGCGAGCUGGGUUUAGAACGUCGUGAGACAGUUCGGUCCCUAUCUGCCGUGGGCGUUGGAAGAUUGAAGGGGGCUGCUCCUAGUACGAGAGGACCGGAGUGGACGAACCUCUGGUGUUCGGGUUGUGUCGCCAGACGCAUUGCCCGGUAGCUAAGUUCGGAAUUGAUAAGCGCUGAAAGCAUCUAAGCGCGAAGCGAGCCCUGAGAUGAGUCUUCCC
rnacentral:rRNA from 1 species